UGCAAAGGAUACAGAUGAAGAGAUGCA
rnacentral:piRNA from 1 species